GCUCAGAUGUGCGCCAGUGGUCUGGUGUGCGGGCUUCAAACCCGUAGCAGAGCGGUUCGAUUCCACCUUAUAGGCG